GUACUCAGGAAGAGAAACAGGGAAUCCUCCACAGCACUAGAAAAACACCCCAACUCACCAAUGACAGCAAAGCAGAUAUUGGAAGUCAUUCAGAAAGAAGGGUUAAAAGAAACAAGUCUGGUUUCAGACCCCGGCAUGGCUUGGAGACAGCGUUGGUGUGUAUGAAGGAUCUUCCUCCAAUGAAGGAUUUGGGACAACUUUCCAUGAUGAUUAUAUUAGAGCCUCAGCUGCUUUCGUGUUGGUCAUGAGGUGAUGCUGAACCGAAUGCUUGAACUAGCAGGAGUGGCUGGGAUUGCAUUGGAGUGGUUCCGUUCAUUCCUUCCGGUUUGUUCGAAGCAGGUAACUGAUGAAGCAUCUUCCACUCGAGAUUCAAGCCUUACUAACACAGCAGUGCAAAGCAAGUUAGUGUCUUCCUUCCAGCAGCACACCAAAAAGGCUCUUAAACAGGCUUUGAGGCAGCAGCAGAAAAGAAGAAAUGGAGUCUCAAUGAUGG
rnacentral:lncRNA from 1 species